ACGAACGCUGGCGGCACGCUUAACACAUGCAAGUCGAACGAGAGAAGAGAAGCUUGCUUUUCUGAUCUAGUGGCGGACGGGUGAGUAACACGUGAGCAAUCUGCCUUUCAGAGGGGGAUACCGAUUGGAAACGAUCGUUAAUACCGCAUAACAUAAUUGAACCGCAUGAUUUGAUUAUCAAAGAUUUAUCGCUGAAAGAUGAGCUCGCGUCUGAUUAGCUAGUUGGUAAGGUAACGGCUUACCAAGGCGACGAUCAGUAGCCGGACUGAGAGGUUGAUCGGCCACAUUGGGACUGAGACACGGCCCAGACUCCUACGGGAGGCAGCAGUGGGGAAUAUUGCACAAUGGAGGAAACUCUGAUGCAGCGAUGCCGCGUGAGGGAAGAAGGUUUUAGGAUUGUAAACCUCUGUCUUCAGGGACGAAAAAAGACGGUACCUGAGGAGGAAGCUCCGGCUAACUACGUGCCAGCAGCCGCGGUAAUACGUAGGGAGCGAGCGUUGUCCGGAAUUACUGGGUGUAAAGGGAGCGUAGGCGGGAUCGCAAGUCAGAUGUGAAAACUAUGGGCUUAACCCAUAAACUGCAUUUGAAACUGUGGUUCUUGAGUGAAGUAGAGGUAAGCGGAAUUCCUAGUGUAGCGGUGAAAUGCGUAGAUAUUAGGAGGAACAUCAGUGGCGAAGGCGGCUUACUGGGCUUUAACUGACGCUGAGGCUCGAAAGCGUGGGGAGCAGACAUGAUUAGAUACCCUGGUAGUCCACGCCGUAAACGAUGAUUACUAGGUGUGGGGGGACUGACCCCUUCCGUGCCGCAGCAAACGCAAUAAGUAAUCCACCUGGGGAGUACGACCGCAAGGUUGAAACUCAAAGGAAUUGACGGGGGCCCGCACAAGCAGUGGAGUAUGUGGAUUAAUUCGAAGCAACGCGAAGAACCUUACCAGGUCUUGACAUCGUAUGCAUAGCUCAGAGAUGAGUGAAAUCUCUUCGGAGACAUAUAGACAGGUGGUGCAUGGUUGUCGUCAGCUCGUGUCGUGAGAUGUUGGGUUAAGUCCCGCAACGAGCGCAACCCUUACUGUUAGUUGCUACGCAAGAGCACUCUAGCAGGACUGCCGUUGACAAAACGGAGGAAGGUGGGGAUGACGUCAAAUCAUCAUGCCCCUUAUGACCUGGGCCUCACACGUACUACAAUGGCUGUCAACAGAGGGAAGCAAAGCCGCGAGGUGGAGCAAACCCCUAAAAGCAGUCUUAGUUCGGAUUGUAGGCUGCAACCCGCCUACAUGAAGUCGGAAUUGCUAGUAAUCGCAGAUCAGCAUGCUGCGGUGAAUACGUUCCCGGGCCUUGUACACACCGCCCGUCACGCCAUGGGAGUCGGUAACACCCGAAGCCUGUAGUCUAACCGCAAGGAGGACGCAGUCGAAGGUGGGAUUGAUGACUGGGGUG
rnacentral:rRNA from 1 species